UAGGGAAUCUUCCACAAUGGACGCAAGUCUGAUGGAGCAACGCCGCGUGAGUGAAGAAGGUUUUCGGACCGUAAAGCUCUGUUGUUGGUGAAGAAGGAUAGAGGUAGUAACUGGCCUUUAUUUGACGGUAAUCAACCAGAAAGUCACGGCUAACUACGUGCCAGCAGCCGCGGUAAAUCGUAGGUGGCAAGCGUUGUCCGGAUUUAUUGGGCGUAAAGCGAGCGCAGGCGGAAGAAUAAGUCUGAUGUGAAAGCCCUCGGCUUAACCGAGGAAUUGCAUCGGAAACUGUUUUCUUGAGUGCAGAAGAGGAGAGUAGAACUCCAUGUGUAGCGGUGGAAUGCGUAGAUAUAUGGAAGAAUACCAGUGGCGAAGGCGGCUCUCUGGUCUGCAACUGACGCUGAGGCUCGAAAGCAUGGGUAGCGAACAGGAUUAGAUACCCUGGUAGUCCAUGCCGUAAACGAUGAGUGCUAAGUGUUGGGAGGCUUCCGCCUCUCAGUGCUGCAGCUAACGCAUUAAGCACUCCGCCUGGGGGAGUACGACCGCAAGGUUGAAAAUCAAAGUG
rnacentral:rRNA from 1 species